ACGGAAGGCAGCAGUGGGGAAUAUUGCACAAUGGAGGAAACUCUGAUGCAGCGAUGCCGCGUGAAGGAUGAAGGGUUUCGGCUCGUAAACUUUUAUCGAUAGUGAAGAAACAAAUGACGGUAACUAAGUAAGAAGCUCCGGCUAACUAUGUGCCAGCAGCCGCGGUAAUACAUAGGGAGCAAGCGUUAUCCGGAUUUACUGGGUGUAAAGGGUGCGUAGGCGGCAUAACAAGUCAGUCGUUUAAUUUCGGAGCUUAACUCCGAAUCGGCGAUUGAAACUGUUGAGCUAGAGUACAGGAGAGGUAAGCGGAAUUACUAGUGUAGAGGUGGAAUUCGUAGAUAUUAGGAGGAACACCAGUGGCGAAGGCGGCUUACUGGACUGUAACUGACGUUGAGGCUCGAAAGCGUGGGGAGCAAACAGGAUUAGAUACCCUGGUA
rnacentral:rRNA from 1 species